AACUCCUGCAGUUUGGUUAGAACAAAAUGGGGAAGCUGUCAAAGCAGGUGGCUGCAGAGCUUGGGAAGAUAUGGAUGAUGGCUGCUUUCACAUGCCCCAGAGCUUGUACUCAGAGCAAGAAGUCCUCCCAGGAAGGUCAGAGGAGUAAAGGGUCACUUAGGGAUUCUGAGGCACAGUGGAAGUGACGCUAGUUGAGCAAGGAUGAAACCAGACUUCUGAAGGCACAGCUCUGCCGCCAGCUAGUUGAAAGCUGAGCAAUCAUCUAACCUGUCUCAGGCUCAUUCUCUUCACUUAAAAUACCUCAGGCAGGAAGAAUACACACUAAGAUGUCGAUAGUGGUCCUCUCUGGGUGUAGAAUUAUGGGAAUCGCUGAACUCUGUGUCAUAAAUCUGAACACAGACCUGACUCAGGGACUGAAAAUGCUAAAGGAAGAGCUGUCAUGGGGGCCGAAGGAGAUGUAAGCUCAAGUCUAUCCCAUGGCCACAAGAAUACAGUGAAAGUGACACAGUACCAGUUCUGGACUGAAGCUUUAAGACUACCUGACAAUUUUCGCUUUUGUACUUUUGAAACACAGUCCUGAACUGCCAUGUAAGAAGUCUGACUGUCAGGCAUGGUGGCUCACGCCUGCAAUCCCAGCACUUUGGGAGGCUGAGGCAGGAGGAUCAGGAGGUCAAGAGUUCAAGACCAGCCUGGCCAACAUGGUG